UCUAAUGUUUACACGAAUUUAUCAUGACUUUGAUCUUAUUACAAACGGACAGUUAGUUUCCGAUGAUCAUGACUGACGGUUUGCUCCUUACGAACUGGAGAGGCGUAGUUUCUCCUUGUGGUUGGAACCUAGAGGAGGCCCUAUACAUAAAUACCUUGACAUUCGUGAGUGGUCGCCGUUGGUUAAAUUAACCCGUUAAAUUAAUAUCUUUACUUAUAGUAGAUGCUGAAGAUGGUCCGAAUAGGGACCGAAACGUUAAUAUUCAAUAAAGAAGAAUGAACGUUCCUAAAGAAAAAUAAACGUUUUUCGUACGGUCAACAGCGAUUGGCUCUUAAUUAGCCUGUUUUCUUUUACGUGUGGAUGUUCAACAGAGCCUCAACUUUCUAAUUUAUAUAAUUAUAUUUUUAUACGAUAUAUGAAACCACACUACUCUUGAUUGCAUUCUUUUUCUUAAGCAUAAUUUUAUCGCAUCUGUUUUAUAUUCUUGACAAUUUUCUCUAUUAUUUAAAAGCAAUAAAGUAAAGUAAUAUUGUAAAGUAGAUAUACAGGUAGUAACUUACUUAGUGCUUACAUGAAUGAUUGCAUAUGUUUUGCGUGCAUUAUAUGACUCAAUAGCAAAUGUAAAUUAUUUUAACACGCUAGUAAAAAAGUACAACUAGAAUUUAUCAUCUGUUAUAAACAUGCAUUUAUUAUGUAAA